UACCAGCACCCCGAGUGGUCGGGACGAUUAUUGGGCCUAAAGCAUCCGUAGCCGGUCCUACAAGUCUUCCGUUAAAUCCACCUGCUCAACAGAUGGGCUGCGGAAGAUACUAUAGGGCUAGGAGGCGGGAGAGGCAAGCGGUACUCAGUGGGUAGGGGUAAAAUCCUCUGAUCCAUUGAGGACCACCAGUGGCGAAGGCGGCUUGCCAGAACGCGCUCGACGGUGAGGGAUGAAAGCUGGGGGAGCAAACCGG
rnacentral:rRNA from 1 species